UUCAAUGUAUAAUAAUGUUAUUAUUCGUUUUUUAAUUAAUAAUUUAAGCGAAGAAGUAACUAUUUAUAAAAAAGGAAACAAAAGUUUUCAAAUCUCUUGGUACAUGGUAAUAAUAAUACGAAUAUGAAGUACAUUGUUUCCAGAAAUGAAAGAAAUAACAAGAUGUUGCUUGAGAUUAUAGUAA